GUUGUAUUGAUUAAAUUUAAUAAUAAUUAUAAUUUGAAAUAUAAAUAAAAGUGUAUACGUGCAGUAUUUGUGAUUAGUUAUUAAACAUACAGGUGGUGCAAAAUACCUUAAGCUCUGCAAUUAUAUAAAAUCUUUGAGCAACAAGUUGUUCCAUAUUAUAUCUGUCAAAUAUAAAGUACCUUGAGGAAAUAAAUCAAGUGAUCAAGUAAUCGAUUUUAGUGCAAUUGUUUCGUUUGGACGAAAAGAAGAAACUGCUGAAAAAAUACUAAUAGUGUUGAAACUAUCAACUCGCAAUGUCUUAUAACGAAACUAGUAAAACUAGUAGUUCAUUCAACAGAUGGAUGAAAAAUAUUCAGGAGGACAUCGAUUCUGGAUUUAAUUUAAACGAAUAUAAUGUUGAAGAAUAUGAGUCUACUUUUAACGCUAAGAAAUCUUUAAAUCAAAAAGCUCUUGAGAUGAACAAUAGUAAGUCUAUAGAAGGAUGUUCACAAAAUAUUAAGAAAGAUACUGUUUCAAAAAAUUGUGAUAAAAGUAGUAAUAAAGAGAUAAAUUAAAAUGGGCCUGUAAAUAAAACAUUGACAACAACUUAACUAAUGGUAGAAUCAAUUAAAAUAUGUUAAUAUAACGCAAAUGGCACCAUUAGAAAUAUAAAUAUUUCAACUCAACUUAGUCAAUAUUCUACUAAUCCGAAACUAACUUCAAUAUAAAAUCAUAACAUAUUCUACAUCAUCUGCAUUUCCCAUCACCCAGAUGUGAAAGUCAAUAUGACAUAAUUUUGUGAAAAAUUAAUUUCGAGAUGGGAACAAUGAACCUUCAAUUAGCGCAAGAAGUUGUUCUUAUCACAAGUAGAAAAAUAAUA